rnacentral:rRNA from 1 species
CUACGGGCGGCUGCAGUGAGGAAUAUUGCACAAUGGGGGGAACCCUGAUGCAGCAACGCCGCGUGGAGGAUGACGCAUUUCGGUGUGUAAACUCCUUUUAUAUGUCAAGAAAAUGACGGUAGCAUAUGAAUAAGCACCGGCUAACUCCGUGCCAGCAGCCGCGGUAAUACGGAGGGUGCAAGCGUUACUCGGGAAUCACUGGGCGUAAAGGACGCGUAGGCGGGUUGGAAAGUCAGGUGUGAAAUCCUACAGCUUAACUGUAGAACUGCACUUGAAACUUCUAAUCUAGAGUAUGGGAGGGGGAGAUGGAAUUAGUGGUGUAGGGGUAAAAUCCGUAGAUAUCACUAGGAAUACCUAAAGCGAAGGCGAUCUCCUGGAACAUUACUGACGCUAAGGCGUGAAAGCGUGGGGAGCAAACAGGAUUAGAUACCCGGGUAGUC